UGUUCUCCAACAUUGAUAUCAGCUGAUUUAUUAUCAUUCUUUUUUUUUUUAAAGAUUGGCACCUGAGCUAACAUCUGCUGCCAAUCUUUUUUUUUUUUCCCUUUCUCCCCCAAGCCCCCCAGCACAUAGCUGUAGAUUCUAGUUGUAGAUCCUUCUAGCUGUGCUAUGUGGGCUGCCUCAGCAUGGCCUGAUGAGCGGUGCCAUGUCCGUGCCCAGGAUCUGAACUGAUGAAACACUGGGCCACCGAAGGGGAGCUCAAGAACUUAACCACUUGGGCAUAGGGCCCGCCCCUAUUAUCAUUCUUAAUUUUGUAUUUCAGGCAAGGAACUCCUUCUAA
rnacentral:lncRNA from 1 species